GGAGGUCUGCAUUCUAAUC
rnacentral:miRNA from 1 species